AGGACUCAGUGAAGGUCUUUAGCUGUCCUUUAUUGUCACGUUCUUUCAUCAAACCGACUCCCAUCAAGGUCUGAAUAAAUAUUUGUAAACUGUUUGAACUUUGUCCUGUGCCCUUUGGACUGCAAAGAUGUUUGAAAGAAUCGCCCCUUCCCACGGAGCGGACACGCGUGCGCAAAUGCCUGUUCCCAUCCCCCCAACCGAACCCAUUCAGAGCCAACUGCUAACUGAGCACCGAAGACACAAGGAUUGGAUAAGAAUCUCUGAAAGUCAUUCAGGGUAUUUGAGAAACUGCAUCUUGAGCCGCCUGCAAUCACUCUCAGACACUUGCUGAAUGGACCAGGCUCAAUUAUGUUCCCUCCGCAGGUUCAGCUCACACUGUGACCCUGCAUGGCUUCCUGCUAUUCAUAUGUGUUACUUCCCCUUUGUGGUAAUGGCUUGUGGCACUUGGCCAGAAAACAUUAUUAAUUUCAGAAGUGGACUGACAAAACAACAAACGCACAGUGGAACAAGAGGAAAUGCUGGGGAGGCCAGCUGUCGGGUUUGAGCCCAGCAGUAGGAACUCGGGGUGUAUGCAAGUUCUGGGAGGAACAGAGAUGAUCCACGAAGGGGAAAUGCACUAAAAUUACCCAUACCCCUAACCCCCUUUAAUAUAAAAAGAAAAAGGAGAAAAGAAGUCAGAUAAAAGAAGUUAAGAAAGCAGUCAGCUAGCUACUUGAGCUGCAGCUGGACAGACAGCACACACUGCUUGCAAAUCCCGACUUUGAACAGGCAGUUUAGGGAACGCCAGGACAGGAAACUCUUCAGAACCGGAAACCCUUCAGAACCAGAUUAACAGGAGCCAAGCUGAACUGGGAUCCAUUUCUGCUUUUGUUCCUGAUGACUUGGGACACCCAAAUAAGAGCCUGACUUGAUUAUUUUUGUUUUUGUCUUUUAACUUAAGUCACUUAAAAAGUCACUCCCAGACAGGUUGACCCACUUGUCAACUACAUGUAAACUGCCAGAUAGCACAACAGUCACCUGCCAUCCAUGUUGCUUGGGUGAAAAGCUCAUUUUCCCCACUUCAAAAUGAUGGAGCUCAGACGUGGCAUCCCAAAACGCAUCAUCCUAGCACUUUUGAUACUAAUGCAUGUCCCAUCCUCUUAAUUUGGUUUACGUACUUCCGAGCUCAGAAAAAUGUCUCCAGAAAAAUGAGUGGAUGCCUAGUCUUUGGCUCAGAAGGAAACUUUAAAACCAUCUAUAACAGAGAUUCAAUGGUGCUUCUGGCCUACAUCCUAAAAUAGCUAAGCACAAAAACAGAUUUAAAUUGGGAACACAAGAUUUCAUCCAGAGUGAACACACAAAACACUUAAAAACCACAUGCAAGUCUAUGAAAAAGCCAACGUGCCAUUAGGAUGUCAUGAGAAUCAAAGAGAGAAAGGGACCCAAUCUAGCUUGUGCUAGGACCAUUCCCGGCACUAGACAUCCUGCAAAAAACUAUUCUACUUACUUCCUGACAUACCCAAGUUUUAUGGAGUAGAGGGUUCUGGAGGACAGAGGUUAACAUGUGGCUGCCAUUAUACUGGGAUGGCCUUGUGGCCAUGUCAUUUAUUACUAUCCAAACCUUCUAUUUCAACAAUGUUUAUACUUUGAGAUUCAUUUCUCCAGGGAAGGGGAAAUAAGAAAAUCUUAAUGAAGCCUGAACCACUCAAGUGUUAUCUGUAUGCAUGAAGUGGUCAGUCUACCCUAUAAGGUCUUAACUUGAAACAAAAUGUCACACACUGCAUCUGAAAACCUUUAGUAGUGUGACCUUGCUAUCCCUAUAAGCUCAUACUUCAUAGACUGAGACAUUUAAAAAUAAAAACAUGCGCAAUA